AUGCAGGGGAGCAGAUUGUACUGGGCCUAAUGGCUUCAUCGUAGAGUGCUCGGACAAAAAGGGUUCUGGUUUCGAACCUCAAAUUAUCCUUUGUGAUAUCCAUUCUUGUUCUUCAUCAGUAUAUGUCUCUUCAAAUGCUUCAACCAUCUCCUAAUGCAGAUUUUACUUGCAUAUUCGAACUUGGUGUUUUUUUUUUUAAAUUUUUUUUUUUUUUAACCAAGUCUUAAUAACUUUGCUGUUGGUUUAUUUGGUGUACUCUCUUAAAGUUUUUCUACUUUCUAGGCUUCUUCGAAAAAUCCGUAACCUUCAGUGGUGGGACUUUUGGGUCUUCUGUUUUACCAUUAGCAGCGUCAGCGAUUUUGAUGCAUUUGUCGUUAGUUAGAAAUGUGUUUAGUACAAAAAUAAAUCUGUUGUUUAUCUCAUCACUUAGUAGCUAUAUCUGUUUAUAUACAUCGGUAUGCUAUUAUUAAAACACGAAGCGACGCGAAAAUGAUUUAUUUAAUAUUUUGGAUGACUUGUUAGUUGUUACAUAGGUAGUGUUUUGUUUGUGUAGGCUGGUCCAAUCUAUUGCUCUUUCCUUAUGCGCAUUUCGCUGUAUGGAAUUGUAAUCACAGUUUAAGAACAAUCAUUGCUGUUGUUAUGGAGUCCUGAAGAAGGAAAUUUUACUAGUUUGUGUCGAUUGGGUGGUCUGUGGACUUUUGUUACUGAGCUUUAUUAGGCCAUGAAAUGUUGAGAUUUUUUUACCUUUUAAAAAUAGAUUUUAUAUUGGAUAAAAUUGUAAUUUAAGUAUUUGUUUUAUAUCUAUAAAAGAUGAGAUUAAUUGGA